rnacentral:lncRNA from 1 species
UUAGGAUUUGGUUAGGAUUUGAUUUAGGAUUUGGUUUAGGGUUUAAGGUUUGGAUUAGGAUUUGGUUAGGAUUUAGUUAGGAUUUCAUUUAGGAUUUAGGAUUUGAUUAGGAUUUUAUUUAGGAUUUAGGAUUUCUUUAAGAUUUGUUAUUAUUUCUUUGAAUUUGAUUAAGCUUGUUUAGUAUUAUUGUGGUCCAAUUAGAGCAUUAUUAGUAUUCUAUUAGAAUUAGGAUUUUUUUAUUACAAUUUCCAUUCUUCCUACCACAGCCAGGUGCCAGGAGCAUUCUGAAGCAAGACUUUACGUAUUACAACACCGUAGUAUUUACCAUCACCACAAGAG